rnacentral:rRNA from 1 species
AUUGAACGCUGGCGGCAUGCUUUACACAUGCAAGUCGAACGGUAACAGGCCGCAAGGUGCUGACGAGUGGCGAACGGGUGAGUAAUGCAUCGGAACGUGCCCAGUCGUGGGGGAUAACGCAGCGAAAGCUGCGCUAAUACCGCAUACGAUCUAUGGAUGAAAGCGGGGGACCGUAAGGCCUCGCGCGAUUGGAGCGGCCGAUGUCAGAUUAGGUAGUUGGUGGGGUAAAGGCUCACCAAGCCGACGAUCUGUAGCUGGUCUGAGAGGACGACCAGCCACACUGGGACUGAGACACGGCCCAGACUCCUACGGGAGGCAGCAGUGGGGAAUUUUGGACAAUGGGCGCAAGCCUGAUCCAGCAAUGCCGCGUGCAGGAAGAAGGCCUUCGGGUUGUAAACUGCUUUUGUACGGAACGAAACGGUCCUGGUUAAUACCCGGGGCUAAUGACGGUACCGUAAGAAUAAGCACCGGCUAACUACGUGCCAGCAGCCGCCGCAGUAA